CUACGGGUUGCUCCAGUGGGGAAUAUUGCACAAUGGAGGAAACUCUGAUGCAGCAACGCCGCGUGGAGGAUGACACUUUUCGGAGCGUAAACUCCUUUUAUAUAGGAAGAAGAUGACGGUACUAUAUGAAUAAGCGCCGGCUAACUCCGUGCCAGCAGCCGCGGUAAUACGGAGGGCGCAAGCGUUACUCGGAAUCACUGGGCGUAAAGAGCGUGUAGGCGGAUUAAAAAGUCAGAAGUGAAAUCCUAUAGCUUAACUAUAGAACUGCUUCUGAAACUCUUAAUCUAGAAUGUGGGAGAGGUAGAUGGAAUUUCUGGUGUAGGGGUAAAAUCCGUAGAGACCAGAAGGAAUACCGAUUGCGAAGGCGAUCUACUAGAACAUUAUUGACGCUGAGACGCGAAAGCGUGGGGAGCAAACAGGAUUAGAUACCCGCGUAGUC
rnacentral:rRNA from 1 species